GUCCUUUUGUUGAUCUUUUUACAAAGUAUCCAAAAUAUGCCUAAAAUGCCCUUUUUGGAACGGCCACCCCCAAAAUCUAGCUACAUGUAUACUUUAGCUUUAGCAUUUCGUUAAGUUUCGAAGGACGAAUGAUGCUUGUUAUAAAAAUCAAUUCAAAUACCAGUUAAACAUAACCUUAUCUAGCAUAUUCAGAGUAACAAAAUUGUGAUAUUUUUG
rnacentral:lncRNA from 1 species